CGAGCGGCCAGAGCGCGAGAGGCGCCCGGGCAGCCAUGGGGGGCGCGGGCAGCGCCGCCGUAGGGUCUGCGGCUCCCGGCGGCCGGGGAGGGCGCGCCGCCAGCCAUGAGACUGGACAAGAUCCCCAAAGGAGUGAAUGCAAAUAGGAGAGAACCAAGAAUGAAGCUAGCAAAGGAGACUGAGAAGGAACAGCCAGUGAAGGAGGAAAACCAAAAGAGAAGUGCCUGGAAGCAGAGUGAAGAUAGUGUAUCAAGGAGGAGCGAAUGCUUAUAUCUUUCAAGCCCCACCUCUCCUCUUCUCUGUAAGUAUCCCACAUCCAGGAAAACUGAUAAGAUGACUCCUUUGGUGCUGGUGGAAAGUAUAAACCAAGCAAGACCCAGCCUACUUGAGGGAACUUUCACCCUGGUCCUACUCCCAUAAAACCCUAAGCAGUCUCCUUUCCUUAUUCCUUUAUACCAUAUUUGUACCAGGUUAGGAGCCUACCCUG